AGUAGUAUAGUGGCGGCUUCUAGAGAGUUCUCUCGGGGAGGCGCAGGCCGACUCGCGGAGGCGGAGCUGGUGCAGGGUUUCUUCUACGGGACUCCCACUGCAUUUGGAUCUCGCCUCCUCUAUCCAUCUUUCUCACACGGAAUCCAUCGUGGUUGCUUGCGGGGCUUCGAUUCGAUUCGGCGCGUACCGGAACCGGGAUCUCUUCUGCGGUGCUCUAGGCCGAGCGGCGUCGUCGUUUAUGGUAUCUUGUCCGCGGAGGCGUGUCUGCAAUGGCCGGGAAAGAGGACAAGACCGGAGAUUUCUACGAGGUUUUGGGGCUCAGGAAGGAGUGCUCCGAAGCUGAACUAAAGGGUGCCUACAAGAAGCUCGCAAUGAAAUGGCAUCCGGAUAAGUGCUCGGCGUCAGGGAACACCCAGAGCAUGGAAGAAGCUAAAGAAAAGUUUCAGGAGAUCCAUACGGCUUACUCUGUUCUCUCGGACACAAACAAGCGAUUUCUCUAUGAUGUCGGCGUCUACGACAAGGAUGAUCACAAUGACGAAAAAGGGAUGGGGGACUUUCUUGGGGAGAUAACCCAGAUUAUGAACCAAACUAAACAUGUAGAGGGUGAUCACGAUAGCUUUGAGAAGCUGCAGCAGAUGUUCGUGGAGAUGUUCCAGGGUGACCUGGAUUCCGGGUUUUGUGGCCCAUGGACUUGUUCAACUAAUGAUCAUUCUAGGCCAUCAUCGGGACCACAGUUUGGCAAUGGCGGGGGCAAUGGAGGCAACAAACGGGGUAACUCUGACAUUAAUUCAGGAAAGGCAAAUUUGGAUGGAUUGGAAUAUGCUGGCUCUAGCUUCUCCGUUGGGUUGAGUGACGGAGGACAGUCAUCCAAAGGAAAAGGCACUUUUAAUCAUAAUAAUAGCAAGAGAAGGACAGGAAGAAAGCAAAAGGCUCAGUCUGCAUGGCUUCUACCACACAAAAUAUUUGUUGAUUCGGCCUUACUGUUUGGAGGAUUUGGUUAAAGUCUACAUCUGUGAAGGACCACUGUACAGAAUGCAGCUGGGUUGCUCUGGCUCUACUCUCUGGCCCCUCAGCAAUUGAAAGAUCGACAGACGAACGGUCGGUCGAUUGGAAGUUUGGAACCAUACAAAAAGGAUGCGCUUACCGGAACUGACGUUUGAACCCACAUUUGCUUUUUUGGAGUUGCUGGCUCACGUGGCCAAUUCUCCACCGGAGAAACUUCGAGGAUACGGGGAGGUUGGAGGAAUUUUAAAAAGGGCCUUUUAUUAAAGCCUCUUUUCACCCUUUGCCCAACUCUAUUGGCCUCUAUAAAAUUCACUUGAGCGCCUGACUCGGAUGAGCUUAUGUUUUUUCUUCUGACUAGGACAAUCCAGAGUUUGAUUUAUUACCAACUUUUGCGUUUAUAUAUUACUCUAGCAGGACCUUAGCAACUCCCAUAGAGUAUUGAUAUUUUUUUGUUUUGAUAAUUCAGGUUUUACUCAAUUGAUUUUAGAGGUAGACGGUCUUGUUUGUUUUUUUGUUCAUCUAUCGGAUAAAUUUGACUGCAUCUCAACUUAGGAAUUCAGAAUCUGAUGGAAGACGAUAAAUUUGACUGUUUACCACCCGUAGUCUCCCUUUGCAUCUCUUAACUUAGGAAUUCAGAAUCUGACGGAAGAGCAUAUCUGUGGAGGAAGAAGGGUCAUUUCCUCUUGAUUGCGACGAGCUAAAACAUUUUUGCAACAACUUGGCUAAAUGCUCAUCCAACUUAGGAAGAGGAAUUGCACUGGCAAUCUAUAUUUGUGAUCCUCUACUACAUUGUUAGUCUUUUCAGCAUCAAUAUCUUGAUAGGGCUGUAAAUAAAUUAAAUGUUGUGAAUAAUUUUGGUAUUUGGUUAGGUAAGAGUUUGUGUAUGUUCGUUUAA